ACUCUUAGAAUUGGCUGACUUGAAAUGGGAGAUAGGCCUCCCAGAGGCCAAUGGAGAUGGGUGGCUGGGAAGGAUCCUCAUAAUUCCUCUACAUUUUCUUAAUUGAAAACUAGGGAGGUGACAUAAUAGGGGCUCCCUCCCAUGCCACGCAUUUCUAUUGUUUCUGGGUUUCUCUCCCUUUUCCUUUCUUGCCGGCAAGUUGAAAUUUCAAUCUUUGCCUGUUCCAUAACUAUAUAUGCAGGGAGACACGAGGGUAGGGGGUCCCGGAGCACAAGAAGAUGAAAGGGUGUGUAGAGGAAAAUAUCUGAAAUGUGGACAGAGUUUAAUGGAGACAAUUGGGUGGGGUCACAUGAAGCUAGUAUCCUUUAAUGGAGCCCAUCUCUGCUCCUCGAGACCGCUCAUUUCAUGUAGCAGGCCUUACUCUUUCAUCUAUAUAUACACAAGAGAUCAGGUUCAUAACCAGCAACACAAGUCUCUCUCCUUGCCAAGCAUCAAAGUCUUCUCUGUUUCCCAAGUCCUCUGAAUUCUUUUUCUUGUUCUAAUUUUCCACUUGAGAAUACAAAAACCAUGGGAUUCCGGUUGCCAGGAAUUGUUAACUCCAAGAAGGGUCUAAACAAGGCUGCUACUUCAAAGACCUUAGACAUCCCAAAAGGCUAUUUUGCAGUGUAUGUUGGGGAGAGCCAGAAGAAGCGAUUUGUGGUUCCAAUAUCAUACUUGAAUGAGCCUUUGUUCUUGGAUUUGCUGAGUCAAGCAGAAGAAGAAUUUGGAUAUGAUCAUCCAAUGGGUGGUAUCACAAUCCCCUGCAGUGAUUAAACCUUCAUUCAUCUCACUUCCAGCUUAAGUGUAUGAUUGAAGGGAAAUGAAGUGAAUCUGGUUCAUAUCCAAAUCAACCUCAGUUCGAUCAGAAGAACUCGCCAUGUCAAGAUGAAGUAGAGGCUGUGAUUGAUCAUAUGCACAUUUUUCUGUUGCUUAUGAAUCUGGAAGCCUUCUUUGAUGGUCAAACUGCUUGUGAGCCGAGCACGAAUAUACAAAAUUUGUGAAGCAGUCGAAUGACGAUAUCAUGAACUCUCGAAGACUAUUGAAAAUCAUAACUCCAAUUUUGAACUGGAUGACAAGAAGAAUUGUCUUUUAUGCCAUGUACUAUUCUUAAUGUUUUGUUCUCCGGGAAACAUGAGAAAAUAUAAUAUAUUUUGAUUCCUCAUA